rnacentral:rRNA from 1 species
CUACAAGCUGACAACGGACGAGAAUUCGACAGCCAUGCCGCCCGCGCCUUCUUCGAUACCUAUGGCAUCGCGUUUCGCAUGUCUUGCCCUUACACGUCUGCGCAAAACGGGCGUGCCGAGCGCAUGCUCCGCACCCUAAACGAGACUGUUCGUGCCCUGCUCACCCAAGCGUCCAUGCCGCCCACGUUCUGGGCCGAAGCUCUCGCCACGGCCACCUUCCUUCACAAUCGUCGCCCGUGCCGUGUUCACCAGUAUCUUACUCCUUUUGAGCUUUUGUACUGCGCCUCUCCCGAUUACAGUGGCAUCCGCGUCUUCGGAUGCCUCUGCUACCCGAACACCAGCGCCACUACCGCCCAUAAGCUUGUGCCGCGCUCUGUUGCCUGCGUAUUCCUCGGCUACUCGUCGGAGCACAAGAGCUACCGGUGCCUCAACCGCGCCACCGGCCGCGUGCUCAUCUCCCGCCAUGUUUACUUCGACGAGGAACAAUUCCCCUUCGCCUCCAUUGACGCCACACCUCUGCCUACUUCGGUCGUCGAGGACUUCCAGCCUCCGCCCUCGCCUCCGCCUACCGGGACACCAAGUGUGCCCUCCACAUGCCACCAGCAGCCUGCCGCAGCAGCGUCCAUUCCCUGCCGCCACAGCACCCCCGUGCCAAGCGCGCCUACUCCUACACCUCCCUCAGCUCGGCCACCGUCAUCGGCACGUCCUCCCUCCCCCCUUCCUCCUGCACCACGCCAUCCUGCGCCUAUGCCCACGCACACCAUGGUUACGCGCGCACAGCGUGGUACCUUCAAGCCAAACCCAAAAUACGCCCACCUCGCCACUGACGUAUCACCCAUCUCACCCAUCCCAAAAUCCGUAAGGGCUGCACUGCGUGAUUCGUCGUGGCUAACAGCUAUGCAGGAGGAGUACAGGGCACUGAUGAGCAACCGAACGUGGGAGCUAGUUCCGCGGCCGCCCGGCGCGAACAUCGUCAGCGGCAAAUGGUUGUUUCGGCACAAGCUCCGCGCCGACGGCACUCUAGAGCGCUAG